AACGAACGCUGGUGGCAUGCUUAACACAUGCAAGUCGAACGAGUAAGGCUCCUAGCUUGCUAGGAGAUUCUGCUAGUGGCAGACGGGUGAGUAACACGUGGGAAUUUACCUAGUAGUGGGGAACAACAGUUGGAAACGACUGCUAAUACCGCAUACGCCCUACGGGGGAAAGGCUUCGGCCGCUAUUAGAUGAGCCCGCGCUAGAUUAGUUUGUUGGUGGGGUAAUGGCCUACCAAGACUACGAUCUAUAGCUGAUUUGAGAGGAUGAUCAGCCACACUGGGACUGAGACACGGCCCAGACUCCUACGGGAGGCAGCAGUGAGGAAUAUUGGACAAUGGGCGAAAGCCUGAUCCAGCAAUGCCACGUGAGUGAUUAAGGCCUUAGGGUUGUAAAACUCUUUCAACAGGGAAGAUAAUGACGGUACCUGUAGAAGAAGCCCCGGCUAACUCCG
rnacentral:rRNA from 1 species